AUUGAACGCUGGCGUAAUGCUUUACACAUGCAAGUCGAACGGCAGCACGGACUUCGGUCUGGUGGCGAGUGGCGAACGGGUGAGUAAUGUAUCGGAACGUGCCCAGUCGUGGGGGAUAACGUAGUGAAAAUUACGCUAAUACCGGCAUACGAUCUAUGGAUGAAAGCGGGGGAUCGCAAGACCUCGCGCGAUUGGAGCGGCCGAUAUCAGAUUAGGUAGUUGGUAGGGUAAAGGCCUACCAAGCCAACGAUCUGUAGCUGGUCUGAGAGGACGACCAGCCACACUGGAACUGAGACACGGUCCAGACUCCUACGGGAGGCAGCAGUGGGGAAUUUUGGACAAUGGGCGAAAGCCUGAUCCAGCCAUUCCGCGUGCAGGAUGAAGGCCCUCGGGUUGUAAACUGCUUUUGUACAGAACGAAAAGGUUUCUACUAAUACUAGGAGCUCAUG
rnacentral:rRNA from 1 species